rnacentral:lncRNA from 1 species
ACUUAGGAUCCUGAAGGACUAAAAAGAGCCCUGGCUUGGGGGCGUCUGAUGAUCCAUGAGCUGGGGCUGUGGAGACAGAAGCGAAGAAAUUGAGACAUGGAAACGCAGGAUGACAUCCAGUGUCCAUUCUCAGAAAGACUGUUCUCUGAGAUGUUCCCCAAGUUUCUGGGGAUCCCCCUCUGCAUCCUGCCCACCACGACAUUGCUGGACUGUUCUGCGACACUGCACCUUCCCUACCUUGACAGAGUAAGGCCUCUGAAAACAGGAGCCCAAAUCAGUUAAGUUGUUCCCUCAAAUAUUUUGGUUAACUACUCGUAAGUAAAAGUAAUGAGUCACUUGUCUGCCGUAAAACUCGCCUCACGGGUCUGAAUGGAAUCCUCCUGCAUCUGUCCUCCUUCUGCGCUUUGCUGGGGUUUUGCUAGUGGGAUGGUGUCCUUCUUACUCCGGGGCUUUUAAAUCUCAACGUUGUCUGUGAGUUGUCCUUUCUCUCCGUCCUUGGACAGUCAGAGCUACCCAGCCCUGGUCUCCGGGGACCACCCUUUUUUCUCUGUCUCCAAAGCCAGGGUCCUCCUACAGUUUUGGGGAUCCAUGAAGACCCAUCGUUAGACCCCCCAUGAAUCUUCCAGGCACCUUCCUCUUCAUCCUAUAUCACAAACGAUUACCAACCAAAUCUUCUAUAUAAAAAUGACGAUUCCACCUGUCACCUAGUCUAGAGCUCUCAGACACAUUUGCGGCGGUGACGUGGGCUCCUAUUCUGCUUUCUAUAAUCUUUGUAUGAGAAAAGCCAGGAGCUGUUUCUUUACGUUUUUCUUCUUCUCGGAAUGCUCAGGACAUCUCUGCUAAUGCAUCCCCCCCCCCCCGCACUCCCUACAAGAACGGGGUCCUUAGGGUAGCUUGCCAAGCCAUGAGCCCACUCGUAAAUGGCUUAGACCACGGGUAGACAUUUGAUUCAUGAGCAGCCAGCAGAGGCAGCUUGUCAUAAAGAGCUGUCCAUGCAGAACAGCCAGCGCUGGACGGAGGCCACCGAAUCAAUUUGGACCUCUCCUGGGAGUCUCGUUCCCAGGGAGCCGCUGAGCAGAGUCAGCGAGGGGCUGAGGAGGAGUCACCCAACCCAGAGUGACAGCCUUAGGGACAGUGAGAUAAUGGUGCUAGACGCACUGUCCUGAAUGAUCUCACCGGGCACUGGUUGUGCCUUUUGAUUCCUAUAUGCUGAUGUUUUGAUAUCUGGGGGCCUUCCUGACUGACUCUGGAGGGGGGACAUCUGUGGGCCUUACUGACUCUGGAUGGGGACAUCGGGGGGUCCUUAUUGACUCUAGAGGGGGACAUCUGGGGGUCUUCCUGACUGACUCUGGAGGGGGAAGUCGUAGGGGAAGUAGUUAAUUGCCUCUUCUCUCCCACCCCAGCAUGGCUCUCAGAUGUAAACCAACCAAAGCCCCCGCCCUGCCCACCUCCUUUCCUGACUUCUCUUUUUCACAGGUACACUCCACCUUCCUCCAUCACUGCUAGUCCAGGUACCCAGCUCAGGGUGGUCCCUAGAGCCCAGACUUAAGAAGCAUAAUUUUCACCUAAGCCGAACCUGCUCACUCUUCCCUGACCACUCCUUCCCACAACGCUCAGUAAAGCUUUUACCCUCCUUCCUCCUCCCUCCUGACCAGGUGCUACCCUCGUGGUCCCCUGUGGUAUAGCAAGGUCUUUAUUCUUGGAACUGAAUGACCUGUCUUGUCAAGGGCAGCUGCCUCCUGGUCCGCUGACCUCAUUUCUAAAAUCGGCAGAUGCUGCGUGACUCACCCAUCUCUGGGGAGGCUGGCUGUGUGGUUGUUCCUCUUCGAGACAGGGCCGGGGCUCUUCCUGCCUUACCCUAGGUAAAUGUACUAAAUACGACCUGUCUCACUUUCAGUGGGUCGUUACUGCUUCUUUAGAUCAGAUCUUGACUUUCUCUACGGAGCUGCCCACCCCCGUUCCGCCCGCCCCCCACCAUGCUCUUCACAGGCAAGCAUGCUGACUCUCUUUGUAAAUAGCCUUAAAUAUAUUCUUGUCCCCUGUGCCUGGCCAUGAGGCCAUCCUUCGGACAAAUUCCUGCCUUCCCCGUGCCUAAAACUACUCUCUUUCUCCAGGGUCUCACAUUCAGACAUCCUGUGAUGGCUUCUGUAACCCCACGUGCCUCUCUCUGCACAUCAGCAUCACCCGUGUGUGGGUUCCGAUCCCACCACAGAGCAUCCAGUGUUCCCUGCUUAUUGUUUGGGAACUCUCUCUCCUCAGGGCUGUACACACUCUCAGUUCAGGAGACAGAUGUUGGAUAUUUUGCUUGGUGAUAGGACGCACUGGUAUCUAAGCAACUGAUAUCUUUCUUCUCAUCAAGCCGGGGGUAUAAAAUCCACACAUAGAGCAACAGUUGCUACCUGUUGAGCCAGAGCCUGGCUGGAGGGGAAGCCCCAUUUUAUCUCCAUUCAGAGUUCCAGGAAGGCCGGCCCCCAGCUUUCUUAAGUGGAGAGAACUUCAUUCAUUUCCUAAUGGGUCAUACUUGGGGAAAGAUUCGAGUUUCUUCAUUUUAGUGUCAGGCCAGUAAGGGGUUGCAAAGUACAGAGUAAGGAAUGAGGGUAAAGCAAGAGGGAUGGGCCCACCAGUGGAGGCUGGGACGGGGAGACUGGAGCAGAAGCAAGGCAAUCAAACAUGCCCCUCACAGUUUUGAUCCGGCUCUAACCUGUUUGAAAGGAAAACAUCUGGCUUGUCUUCCAUGGGAGUUGACAGUGUAAAGGAUUUCAGGGCACAUUCCUGAUAGUUCCCUGAGGGACUUCCUAACAAGGGGGUGGAGCCACAUAGUUCUUGGAAUGGUCUCCCAUCGAAGACAUUGUAUUUAGAGUUUGAGGUAUACAAAUAAUUCAGAUGCUACACUGUAAGCCCUAAAUAUAACUUAAACCCACAAACAACUCCCCUUUGCCAGCUCUAUGCCUGCAUCCCUUUAAAUGGACUUUCUGUUCCUGACCGCACUGUAAUCAGCAGAUAGCCCUACCGUCCCCCCACUCCCUCCUCCUCCCUUAAAACAGACCCUUCUAAUAGCUAGCAUCCUGCAGUGACCAAAGCCAUUAGAAGGAUUACACCAUUACUAUCCUGUCCAGCACACACAUAAUGCCCCAGGGAUUGCCUUUCUUCUUCUUUGCUUGAUGCUUUUUUUGUGGAUGAAAUCAGGGCCCGAUGGUGGGUUGAAAAAAAAAUCAAAAACCGAAGAGGGCAGAAGGUGACAGUCAUUCUUUUCAAGGGCACCUCCCAAACAGCUUUCCCCACUUGAGAUUCCUUUGUGAAGGUGACGGCAGAUGUCAGCCUUGUGGAUAAAGCAGGCUCUGAAAGCACGCGGACAGGUUACAGACCUCUGUUCCUCGUUACCAUAAUAUUGAAUGCUCAUCUUUUCCCAGGCACGACAGCGAAUAUGUGCUCUGCCUGCUUGCUCACUGUUGUUUGUGCUGGAAAGAACCCGGGCCCAGCCCAGAGCCACGUUGCAGGGCUCAGGACUGCUCUGAAACACUGCCACCUCGUGGGGUGAUGAGGGUUCUGUAGCCCAGGAGUCCUUCUAGCAUGUGGGGACUCUCGGGACCUGUCAAACCAAGAGGGAGAGCCAACUCCUAGAGACCUGGAGGCUUCUAGUACUUCAGGACAGACAAUGGGUCUGAAAUUCUUACUUGGGGCCAUAUGGAUUGGCCGUGCAGGGAGGAAAUUAUAUCUGGCUCUCUGUUUCUGCUCAACUCUUCCCACUGGAUGUCAUCCACCUGGGGAUGUCAAAAGAGAAAAUACAGGGCACUGGGCAGACGGCUCAGUGGCUAAGAGCACUGGCAGCUCUGGCAGACAAGCCAGGUUCCUGCCCUGCUUGAGUUCCUGUCUUGACUUCCUACAAUGAUGAACAGCAAUGUGGAAGUGUAAGCCAGAUAAACCGUUUCUCCCC